rnacentral:rRNA from 1 species
GACGAACGCUGGCGGCGUGCCUUACACAUGCAAGUCGAACGGCAGCACGGGUGCUUGCACCUGGUGGCGAGUGGCGAACGGGUGAGUAAUAUAUCGGAACGUACCUUAUUGUGGGGGAUAACGCAGCGAAAGCUGUGCUAAUACCGCAUAAUCCCUAAGGGGGAAAGCGGGGGACCGUAAGGCCUCGCGCAAUUAGAGCGGCCGAUACCUGAUUAGCUAGUUGGUGAGGUAAAGGCUCACCAAGGCAACGAUCAGUAGCUGGUCUGAGAGGACGAUCAGCCACAGUGGGACUGAGACACGGCCCAGACUCCUACGGGAGGCAGCAGUGGGGAAUUUUGGACAAUGGGGGCAACCCUGAUCCAGCAAUGCCGCGUGAGUGAAGAAGGCCUCCGGGUUGUAAAGCUCUUUUGUCAGGGAAGAAACACCGGCUCUAACACAGUCCGGGAAUGACGGUACCUGAAGAAUAAGCACCGGCUAACUACGUGCCAGCAGCCGCCGCGG